rnacentral:tRNA from 1 species
GCCGGUGUGGCGAAAUUGGUUAUACGCGCAGCAUUCAAACCGCUGUGUCGAAAGGCGUAAGAGUUCGAGUCUCUUCACCGGCACCA